rnacentral:rRNA from 1 species
GAUGAACGCUGACAGAAUGCUUAACACAUGCAAGUCUUUGGCGAAGCUGUGCUUGCACAGCCUAGCCAAGGCGGACGGGUGAGUAACGCGUAAGGAACUUGCCCUGCAGUCAGGGAUAACAGACGGGAACGACUGAUAAGACCUGGUAAAGUCAGGCGGACUCAUGUCCAGCCUGAUGAAAAGAGAUGCUGCAGGAGAGCCUUGCGUCCUAUUAGCUUGUUGGUGGGGUAACGGCCCACCAAGGCGAUGAUAGGUAGCCGGCCUGAGAGGGUGGACGGCCACCAGGGGACUGAGAUCCGGCCCUUACUCCUACGGGAGGCAGCAGUGGGGAAUAUUGGACGAUGGGGGCCCCCCUGAUCCAGCAAUUCUGUGUGCACGAUGAAGGUUUUCGGAUUGUAAAGUGCUUUCAGCAGGGAAGAAAAAAAUGACGGUACCUGCAGAAGAAGCGACGGCUAACUACGUG